UACAGAGGUCUCAAGCGUUGUUCGGAUUCAUUGGGCGUAAAGGGUGCGUAGGUGGCGCCAUAAGUCAGGUGUGAAAUCUCGGGGCUCAACCCCGAAACUGCACUUGAUACUGGCGUGCUUGAGGACUGGAGAGGAGACUGGAAUUUACGGUGUAGCAGUGAAAUGCGUAGAGAUCGUAAGGAAGACCAGUGGCGAAGGCGGGUCUCUGGACAGUUCCUGACACUGAGGCACGAAGGCCAGGGGAGCAAACGGG
rnacentral:rRNA from 1 species